rnacentral:rRNA from 1 species
AUUGAACGCUGGCGGCAUGCUUUACACAUGCAAGUCGAACGGUAACAGGCCGCAAGGUGCUGACGAGUGGCGAACGGGUGAGUAAUGCAUCGGAACGUGCCAGUCGUGGGGGAUAACUACUCGAAAGAGUAGCUAAUACCGCAUACGAUCUAUGGAUGAAAGCGGGGGACCGUAAGGCCUCGCGCGAUUGGAGCGGCCGAUGUCAGAUUAGGUAGUUGGUGGGGUAAAGGCUCACCAAGCCAACGAUCUGUAGCUGGUCUGAGAGGACGACCAGCCACACUGGGACUGAGACACGGCCCAGACUCCUACGGGAGGCAGCAGUGGGGAAUUUUGGACAAUGGGCACAAGCCUGAUCCAGCAAUGCCGCGUGCAGGAAGAAGGCCUUCGGGUUGUAAACUGCUUUUGUACGGAACGAAACGGCUCUGGUUAAUACCCGGGGCUAAUGACGGUACCGUAAGAAUAAGCACCGGCUAACUACGUG